GAUGAAGAACGCAGCGAAAUGCGAUAAGUAGUGUGAAUUGCAGAAUUCAGUGAAUCAUCGAAUCUUUGAACGCACAUUGCGCCCCUUGGUAUUCCGAGGGGCAUGCCUGUUCGAGCGUCAUUAUAACCCCUCAAGCUCAGCUUGGUGUUGGGGCCUGCUGCACUGGCAGCCUUUAAAAUCAGUGGCGGCGCCAUCUGGCUCUAAGCGUAGUAAUUCUUCUCGCUAUGGAGUCCUGGUGGAUGCUUGCCAUCAACCCCCAAUUUUUCUAUGGUUGACCUCGGAUCAGGUAGGGAUACCCGCUGAACUUAAGCAUAUCAAUAAGCGGAGGA
rnacentral:misc_RNA from 1 species